UACGGAGGGGGCUAGCGUUGUUCGGAAUUACUGGGCGUAAAGCGCACGUAGGCGGAUUGGAAAGUUGGGGGUGAAAUCCCGGGGCUCAACCCCGGAACUGCCUUCAAAACUCCCAGUCUGGAGGUCGAGAGAGGUGAGUGGAAUUCCGAGUGUAGAGGUGAAAUUCGUAGAUAUUCGGAGGAACACCAGUGGCGAAGGCGGCUCACUGGCUCGAUACUGACGCUGAGGAGCGAAAGCGUGGGGAGCAAACAGG
rnacentral:rRNA from 1 species